GUAUAGUUUGUGAAUUCUGGCCAGUGGCGGUACCUAAAACCUGGGUACAACUGGGCUAAGGGCCGCUAAACGCCGGGAGUAACUCUGACUCUCUUAAGGUAGCCAAAUGCCUUGUCGGGUAAGUUCCGACGUGCACGAAUGAAACAACGAGGGCCCCACUGUCCCCGUCUACUACCCGGCGAACCCACGUAACGUGGACGAACAGUCCACGAACUUCUAUCGGGAAGAGAAGACCCUGUGGAGCUUUACUGCAGCUUGUCGAUGCGAUACGGCUAUAUCUGCAGAGAGUAACGGGGAGCCGUUAUGCACCUGCCUUUGGGUAGGUGAUAGGCAAAAGUGUAACACCCGUCAGAUGUCGUUGCGUCGCUAACCUCGAAAGGGGAACACCGGCAGGUGGGCAGUUCGGCUGGGGCGGCACCCCUUUGAAAAGAUAUCGAAGGGGCCCAAAGGUUGGCUCAGGUGGGUCAGAAAUCCACCAUAGAGGGCAAGGCCAAAAGCCGGCCUGACUGGGUUC
rnacentral:rRNA from 1 species